rnacentral:tRNA from 7 species
AGGGGUAUAGUGUUAAUGGUAGCACAUCGGUCUCCAAAACCGCCUGUGAGGGUUCGAAUCCUUCUACCCCUGCCA